CAGCAGUCGCCGCGGUAAUACGUAGGGACCAAGCGUUGUUCGGAUUUACUGGGCGUAAAGGGCGCGUAGGCGGCAAUUCAAGUCAUCUGUGAAAUCUCCGGGCUUAACUCGGAACGGUCAGAUGAUACUGCUUUGCUAGAGUACAGAAGGGGCAAUCGGAAUUCUUGGUGUAGCGGUGAAAUGCGUAGAUAUCAAGGGGAACACUUGAGGUGAAGACGGGUUGCUGGGCUGAUACUGACGCUGAGGCGCGAAAGCUAGGGUAGCAAACGGGAUUAGUGACCCCUGUAGUCCCUGUCUCUUAUAC
rnacentral:rRNA from 1 species